CCCUUAGAUGUUCUGGGCCGCACGCGCGCUACACUGAUGCAUUCAACAAGUUUUACCUUGGCCGAGAGGCCUGGGAAAUCUUUCAAAUGUGUAUCGUGAUAGGGAUAGAUUAUUGCAAUUAUUAAUCUUGAACGAGGAAUUCCUAGUAAAUGCAGAUCAUCAUUCUGCGUUGAUUACGUCCCUGCCCUUUGUACACACCGCCCGUCGCACCUACCGAUUGAAUGAUCCGGUGAAGCCUCGGGAUUGUGCCCAGAGAACUUUAUUGUGAUUUGGGUGUGAGAACUUGUCUAAACCUUAUCAUUUAGAGGAAGGUGAAGUCGUAACA
rnacentral:rRNA from 1 species